GGAGAGAUGGCACAGUGGUCGAUUGCGGCAGACUCGAAAUCUGUUGUGCGCGUAAGCGUACCGGGGGUUCGAAUCCCCCCUCUCUCCGCCA
rnacentral:tRNA from 1 species